rnacentral:rRNA from 1 species
GACGAACGCUGGCGGCGUGCCUAAUACAUGCAAGUCGAACGCUUCUUUCCUCCCGAGUGCUUGCACUCAAUUGGAAAGAGGAGUGGCGGACGGGUGAGUAACACGUGGGUAACCUACCCAUCAGAGGGGGAUAACACUUGGAAACAGGUGCUAAUACCGCAUAACAAUUUAUGCCGCAUGGCAUAAGAGUGAAAGGCGCUUUCGGGUGUCGCUGAUGGAUGGACCCGCGGUGCAUUAGCUAGUUGGUGAGGUAACGGCUCACCAAGGCCACGAUGCAUAGCCGACCUGAGAGGGUGAUCGGCCACACUGGGACUGAGACACGGCCCAGACUCCUACGGGAGGCAGCAGUAGGGAAUCUUCGGCAAUGGACGAAAGUCUGACCGAGCAACGCCGCGUGAGUGAAGAAGGUUUUCGGAUCGUAAAACUCUGUUGUUAGAGAAGAACAAGGACGUUAGUAACUGAACG